UUGACAGGUUGUUGCUGGUCUCUCUCGAGGCAUGUGCACGCUUGUCAUCUUUAUCAUUUCUCCAACUGUGCACAUAUUGUAGACCUAAUGGAAUUCGUUCCGAGUCGGGAUUGCUGCGCUUCAUUUUCAAAGAGGUCGGCUUUUCCUUGCAUUUUUCAGGUCUAUGUUUCACAAUCUCUGUAAUGUUUAGAAUGGUUGGAUUCAUAAUAAAAGUUUAUACAACUUUCAGCAACGGAUCUCUUGGCUCUCGCAUCGAUGAAGAACGCAGCGAAAUGCGAUAAGUAAUGUGAAUUGCAGAAUUCAGUGAAUCAUCGAAUCUUUGAACGCAUCUUGCGCUCCUUGGUAUUCCGAGGAGCAUGCCUGUUUGAGUGUCAUUUAACUUCUCAACCCCAUCGAUUUCUGAUGUGGCUUGGACAUGGGGGUUGUUUUUGCAGGCCUCUGAAUGAGGUCGGCUCCCCUGAAAUGUAUUAGUGGUAUCUGAGCAGGACUACUAUGCCAUUAGGUGUGAUAAAUUAUCUAUGCCUGUGGUAUUCUGCAUGAACAGAUUGUGCUGCUUCUAACAAACAUAUUUGACAAAUUUGACCUCAAAUCAGGUAGGACUACCCGCUGAACUUAAGCAUAUCAAUA
rnacentral:rRNA from 1 species